rnacentral:rRNA from 1 species
GACGAACGCUGGCGGCGCGCUUAACACAUGCAAGUCGAACGGAAAGGCCUGCUUUCCCUUGUGGGUUGCGGGUACUCGAGUGGCGAACGGGUGAGUAACACGUGAGUGAUCUGCCCCCAACUUGGGUAUAAGCCUGGGAAACUGGGUCUAAUUCCCGAUAGGACUGCAGGGUGGUGCCUGUGGUGGAAAACGAUUUUCUAGUGGUUGGGGAUGAGCUCGCGGCCUAUCAGCUUGUUGGUGGGGUAAUGGCCUACCAAGGCGGCGACGGGUAGCCGGCCUGGGAGGGUGGACGGCCACAUUGGGACUGCGAUACGGCCCAGACUCCUACGGGAGGCAGCAGUGGAGAAUAUUGCACAAUGGGCGGAAGCCUGAUGCAGCGACGCCGCGUGGGGGAUGACGGCCUUCGGGUUGUAAACUCCUUUCGACCGCGAGGAAGCCACCUGGUUGGAAGGGUGGUGACGGUAGUGGUAGAAGAAGCACCGGCUAACUACGUG